UACGUAGGGUGCAAGCGUUGUCCGGAAUUAUUGGGCGUAAAGAGCUCGUAGGUGGCGGGUCACGUCGGGUGUGAAAGCCCGGGGCUCAACCCCGGGUCUGCAUUCGAUACGGGUCUGCUAGGGUCCGGCAGGGGAGACUGGAAUUCCUGGUGUAGCGGUGAAAUGCGCAGAUAUCAGGAGGAACACCGGUGGCGAAGGCGGGUCUCUGGGCCGGUACCGACGCUGGAGGAGCGAAAGCGUGGGGAGCAAACGGG
rnacentral:rRNA from 1 species